rnacentral:rRNA from 1 species
UACGUAGGGCGCAAGCGUUAUCCGGAAUUAUUGGGCGUAAAGAGCUCGUAGGCGGUUUGUCGCGUCUGCCGUGAAAGUCCGGGGCUCAACUCCGGAUCUGCGGUGGGUACGGGCAGACUAGAGUGAUGUAGGGGAGACCGGAAUUCCUGGUGUAGCGGUGAAAUGCGCAGAUAUCAGGAGGAACACCGAUGGCGAAGGCAGGUCUCUGGGCAUUAACUGACGCUGAGGAGCGAAAGCAUGGGGAGCGAACAGG